rnacentral:rRNA from 1 species
UCAGUGACCCAUCCAAUGGGUAAAAUUGGUACAAUGGACAACGCGUUACCCGACUAGGCGAUAAGAGAAAAGGCCUUAGGGUGUACCUUUGUACAGAGAGCUAGGUUUUGCUAAUUUCUGGAUCCAUGCCGUUACCUAAAGAAUAAGCCCCCGCCUACUACGGACACGCACGGCCGCGGUUAUUUGUUAGGGUGCAAGGCCUUAUUCGGAAUUACUGGGGUAAGCGUGCCGCAGGCGGUUAUGCAAGACAGAGGUGAAAUCCCCGGGUCACACCUUGGAAACUGCCUUUUGUGUCUGCAUGGCUAAGAGUACCGGUAGAAGGGGAAUGGAAUUUCCGCGUGUAGCAGUGAAAUGCGUAAGAUAUGCGGGAGGAACACCGAUGGCGAAGGCAAUCCCCUGGACCUGUACUGACGCUCAUGCACGAAAGCGUGGGGAGGCAAACCAGGAUUAGAUACCUGGUAGUACACGCCGUAAACGAUGUCAACCUGGUUGUUGGGAGGGUUUCUUCUCAGUAAACGUAGCUAACGCGUGAAGUUGACCGCCUGGGGAGUACGGCCGCAAGGUUGAAACUCAAAGGAAUUGACGGGGACCCGCACAAGCGGUGGAUGAUGUGGUUUAAUUCGAUGCAACGCGAAAAACCUUACCUACCCUUGACAUGUCUGGAAUCCUGAAGAGAUUUGGGAGUGCUCGAAAGAGAGCCAGAACACAGGUGCUGCAUGGCCGUCGUCAGCUCGUGUCGUGAGAUGUUGGGUUAAGUCCCGCAACGAGCGCAACCCUUGUCAUUAGUUGCUACGAAAGGGCACUCUAAUGAGACUGCCGGUGACAAACCGGAGGAAGGUGGGGAUGACGUCAGGUCAUCAUGGCCCUUAUGGGUAGGGCUACACACGUCAUACAAUGGCCGGGACAGAGGGCUGCCAACCCGCGAGGGGGAGCUAAUCCCAGAAACCCGGUCGUAGUCCGGAUCGUAGUCUGCAACUCGACUGCGUGAAGUCGGAAUCGCUAGUAAUCGCGGAUCAGCUUGCCGCGGUGAAUACGUUCCCGGGUCUUGUACACACCGCCCGUCACACCAUGGGAGCGGGUUCUGCCAGAAGUAGUUAGCCUAACCGCAAGGGGGGCGAUUACCACGGCAGGGUUCGUGACUGGGGUGAAGUCGGUGAACAAGG